rnacentral:lncRNA from 1 species
GCCACCUGCCCUAUUUCCCAGUGACAGUGCCAGGGAAGCACUCCCACCAAGCCCUCUGGGGAGGGCUCCCAAGAACGGGUGCAGCCUUGCUAGCCCUUCCAUGUCCAGCAGCUUCUGAACUGGUAUGCAAUUAGCCCUGCCCAAGUGGGAGCAGAAUAGAGACAGAUGUCUGUCCAGGAUCUGGGGCAUGUGACUUUACAUGUGGCCAGAUCCCAUCUGCUGGGACUCUCUCCCCCAAACACCUGUCUUUACUCUUGAAAAAAAAAAAAAAGUGUGUGUGUGUAGGAUAGCAGGGUAUGCCGUACCACAGCAUACAUGUAGAAAUCAUGGUAUAACUCUGUGGAUUGUCUGUCUCCCUCCAUCUUCCAGGCUUGUGAGGCCAGAGCUUUAUCUGCUGAGCCUUCUCCGCAGUUCACGUAUGACCCUCCAGAACUUGUUUGGAAUGAGGGCGUAAGGAAGGAGAAGGGCAAAGAGCAAGGCUUUUUUGUUUGUUUGGUUGGUUGGUUGGUUGGUAAUGUUGUUUUGUUUUGUUUUGUUUGAUGCAAGAUCCACGUUUUUGUUGUUGUUUCGGGUUUUUUUGGUUUGGUUUGGUGCAUAUAUCCAAGACUGCCAGCUGGCCUCUAACUCCAGCACAGCACAUUGACCGUGAACUUCUGCUCCUCUUGCCUUGGCCUCCUAAGAGCUGAAACCACGUGUGUGUGCCUGGUUUUACACCGUGCUGGGGACCGAACCCAGUGCUCCCAGUGAGUGAAGAGCAGAGCAUUUGACCAGCUGAGCCAUGUUCCCAGCCCACACUGGUUAACAGGAAGGCAGCACUUAACACCGUGGUGUGAAAGGAUCCUGUGAAAGGAUCCGAGAGACUCACCACCCACGCAUGUGAGUGACAGAACAAACUGUUCUGAGGCCCAAGUGAGGUUAUGGCACAGAGGUUUCCCAAAACAACCAGUUCCUUUCAGAACUAACCAGCUAACUCUUGUUAUCUCCUAACCAGAUUUCAAAACAAGCAAAGGACGGCAGCAGCAUCUCCUCGUGUAACCGGGCCUGGCCUCAGUCCUCUCCACUGUCCUGUCUCAGCCUCCCAAGUGCUGGGAUCACAGACAGCUGCCACUGCUCUCAGCCCUAACCUGACUAUGGUAAUGGUUCCUCCUGCCCAGGGCCUGGGUGCCUGCCUCCCAGCUCCAGCCAGCUUCCACACUAUUCCAAAUUAUUUGCCUAAGGACAUCUGAGGGGAACCUGAACCCCUCAGCAGGACAGUUAAGGCUGUUAUCUCUUCCUAUUUCUGGCUCAGUUCUGUGGCAAAGCCCAAGAGUUCCCCCCUACCAUGCAGCUCCCUGGGUCCCCACACCCUUUUAGUUCACAGUAUCCUUUCAUCCAAGAGCCCAGAUAGAGGCAGAAUGCUCCAAGCUCCCUUGCUGGAGUGCAGCGCUGGUACCACCUCCUCCAGGAAGCCUCCUAGUUUGUGAAGUGACUACCUCUUGAAUGCCUAGCACCCAGUACUGUGAAGCACUUAGAGGCUUGAUCCCCUGAGGCAAGGGUGCAUACAGCUGUCACUACCCAUCCCACCCCUUCUCCCCAGUGACCUCCUCCAUCCUCACCCCAGGGAUUGUCUUCAGGCCUCCUUCAUGGGAGAAAUCUGAGACCCAGAGGGGGAAAUGAGUCAUGGCCUCCAGAGGCCUAAGCAAAGGGCUGUGUGUGUGUGGGGGGGGGUGCAGAUUGAUUCAGGCUGCCCCUCCCCCCAUCACUCUGACUGACUCAGGCACCCCCUUCUACACCCCCACCCCCAUUCUACAGGCCUUGGCUGGUCCUUCUCCCAAGCGUCAAUCAGCACCGGAACUGUGGAAAGCCAACCCUGCAGGGCAAUGGUGGCCUCUCAAUAUUGAAUCCAGGGAAACCCACU